UACAUUAAGAUAUUUUGUGAUGUUUUCUUUAAUCAAUGUAUAUCUUCUCAGUGAAAAACUCUUGAACCUGCUUUGAGAUGAUUGCAUGACUUGGUAACUUGUUUGCCUAAGCGACUUCAGAGAUGGACUCUUGAGCCUGCUUUGACGACUUCAGAGAUAAACUCUUGAGCCUGCUUUGACGACUUCAUAGUCUGCUUUGCUUGAAUUGUCGAAACUUGAUUGUGAUCAAUGCCACUUGGUUACACAACAAACAGUGUGGCGUAGGGAGAGAUGCGAAUGGCCACUCACCCCUCCCCGAUGCACACACUUUAGAGGAUAAAAGGAGGGGAGCGAUGCUCCUCAGUAGAGUCUGCUGUGGGUAGCGUACGGACGCCCAGCGAGUAUCGAAGCUCACUCUGCUGAGGAUGUUGGCUCUCCAUCCUACAGGCAUACGCUUGGAGAAUUAAUGCCUUGGUGGGAGUUGCUGAUCGGGAGACCUGCUAAAACCGGAAGAGACCAUGGACCUCAUUGGGCGCCGCGACACUGGAGGUGUCGUCUGCUGGGUCAUCUGCCUCCUUGCCGUUGGUGCCAUGGUUCAGCCCUCCUGGGGGAUGACAGAGGGCCAAACAUGCAGGAAGGGACCCAUCUUCAAGAUAGAACGA